CAGUGGGGAAUAUUGGACAAUGGGCGAAAGCCUGAUCCAGCCAUGCCGCGUGAGUGAUGAAGGCCUUAGGGUUGUAAAGCUCUUUCGCCAGGGACGAUAAUGACGGUACCUGGAUAAGAAGCCCCGGCUAACUUCGUGCCAGCAGCCGCGGUAAUACGAAGGGGGCUAGCGUUGUUCGGAAUUACUGGGCGUAAAGCGUAUGUAGGCGGAUCUUUAAGUCAGGGGUGAAAUCCCGAGGCUCAACCUCGGAACUGCCUUUGAUACUGGGGAUCUUGAGUCCGGGAGAGGUGAGUGGAACUCCGAGUGUAGAGGUGAAAUUCGUAGAUAUUCGGAAGAACACCAGUGGCGAAGGCGGCUCACUGGCCCGGUACUGACGCUGAAAUACGAAAGCGUGGGGAGCAAACAGGAUUAGA
rnacentral:rRNA from 1 species